UGACAUCCUAUUUCUCUUUAUGACAUUCUGUUGAUUAGCAUGACUUCCUGUUAUUCUUUUAGCAUUUUAUAUGUUAUUAUGAUGUUGUGUUAUGUUGUAUGCCAUUUUUUUGAAGAUUAUUAUGAUGUCUUGUUAUUAUGAAUGACAUCCUAUUGCAUCUUAUGACAUUAUAUAUAUUGGUAUGACUUCCUAUAUAAUUGAAUCC
rnacentral:lncRNA from 1 species